AAUUCCUUAAGAAAGAAAUUUGUUGAUUUCAAAUCUUUGAUUAGACAAUUUGCGUCCUCACCACGUGUUAGUCACUCGGUCUCCACACCUUCUUUGAGUUAAACUUCCAUGAAUCCUCCAUCAUUUGUUCUCGAGCCAUCUUUACGUCCUCUAAAACUUAUCCCUCAGCGCCCCAUGGCUCUGUCUCCUACGUCUUAUCAUACUGCUAUUUCCUCUAGCCAUUCAAGUGUUGUUGCUACCAAGAUGACCGUAAUAUAUGCUACCAAAGGAAAGGUUGUGACCAUCAAUAUUUAUCAGUACAUCUCUUCCACUCCUACCUCGAAGGGCAAACACAUCUGAUUUACAUAUUCUUCUUAUGAAGAUAAAACUUCAGAAGGUUUUGGUAGUGUACCCGCACUAAAAAUGCCUUUGUUAAAGAUGCCAUUGUUGCUGGAUCUCCUAUUGGUUCAGAUGACUCAUCACAAUCAAAGGAGUUAUAAGUUUAUGGGGGAGUUCUUCUAAGGAUUUUUAGUUUAAAUAGGAGCAAGUGUUAUAGGGGAGUUCUGUUUUGUUAACUAUUGAACAAUGUUUUGUUAAAGCUGAAACUUUAAUUUCUAUUGUAAUUAAUCUUGCUACUCUCUUGACUUUAUCUUGAAUCUUGUGAUCUUUGCGCUUGAAAUUGUUAGAUAUUAUCACUUUGGUUCCAAACUUUGCACCAUUGUGGGCUGUUUUGGUUUCCCUUGAUGCAUUGACCCUUCUUUCUUGCGUGUUAAGCUUCACUCUUUAUUCCUUGCUAUGUGCUUCAUUGUCAAUUUCUUCCUUUGUCUUACCAUGACAAAAUGGGGGAGAAAAAAUUAAAUCCUUUUCAAUGUGGUAACUGAAAUAACCUUUGUUAAUCAUGCAAUUUGUGGUGUCAUUUUUAAAAUGAGCUUAUGUUUCAAUAACCCAUGAUGAAUCUCACUUGUCUCUUGCCGAGCAAUGUAUGAUUGCUACAGGAGUUGUUACUAGCACUUCUCUUGUCACUGCAUGAUUUCUUGAGUAUGGGUAAUGUGUGAACUAAGUUGUAGGUUUAGGGUUAUUUUACCAAGGAAAGCCAAAGGGGGAGAUUGUUAAGUACUAGGUUUAGUGUUUGGCUCUCCUUGUCAAAUAUUGUAAUGCUACCACACAUGCUCAUAAUUUAGAGUUAGGGUACACUGCUGAUCUGGGAUUUCUACUAGGAUUGAACUUGUCAAAGCACCAGCCUUCUACACUACAAAAGGUUUGAAUCAUACAUUUGCAUUUGCAUAUCAAGCUUAUUUUUCUAGAUUCCUUUUGUUUACUGUAGUUGUGUAGUUAGAAAUUUCGUCUGUUGUCUAGCUGUCUAGGUACGCAAAUUAAGACAGCCCAUAUGGGCCAUCUAGCACAUUUUCCCGUGCAUAGAUUUCUCACCCUUGAUCUAAAAAGGUUUCUUUGGCUUGUGACUUGUGUCCCAUUGUUCCCCUUGUCUGAAACAUUCAUCUUUCCCAUUAAAAGGGUUCUCAAGGAUUCAUUUGUUCUUUGUUUAGGAUUGCUAGUAUCCUUGUGUUCAAUACUUUACAAAACCGUAUUUAUAACUUUGUUGGAACUAAACUUUGUAGGGUUGCUAGUAUUGACACUUUAUUAACCAAGAGAACUCAAGUACUAGGACUCAAACUUAACUAAAGUUCACAUUGUUAAGUUUUAACCUUUUAAGUUUGUUUGGUUUAUAUGCUUAUAGGAUUCUAACAAUUUGUACUCAGUUGACUAGUACGUUUGGCUAGACAAUACAGUUGUUUUUCAGUUUUUUUUUGUAGGGUAUUCCACCUAGUACCAAAUUCACUCACCCUACACGCGGGGCCAAAGGACCCACCAUCAUCAUGCGGAGCCCACUCCUUGGCUUUGAUGCAAGCCAAAGGCUCACUUUCAACAACACUGAUAUUGUCCCCAACUUUGUAAAUACCACCUACACAGUCCGUCAAAUGUGGGGUUUUAUCACAAAAUGCCUCGAUAUUAGUUGGAGUGGGGUUGGGAUAUUUAAACUCUUCUUUUCUCAGAGAUACAGUCGAAGUGGGACAUUUCAACAUACAUUCCAUGUAAUUGAGUACAUAUUGUUGAAUGACUAAAUGUUGUUAGGGUAGAAACUCUAUUUGCUCUCUCCUUCCUCAUAAGGAAAUCCUACAUCUACAAAUUCUAUAGUUGAUGGCUCCUUGUUUCGGGUUGGGCCUAAGAGUCCUCACUUCCUAUCACCUUAUGAUCCUUCCUUCACCUCCCGCUCACCUCGCUAGCCCUCUAUCUUCUUGCCCCACGUCUUGAUGCUUGUCUUUCUUAGUUUUUGGUCUUUAUAAAUAGGAUAAUGUUAGGUAAACUAAGUUUGUAUAUUAAUUAUUAUGACUGCCCUUACAGACACUAUUCACGAAGGUUUGAAGGGUUUCAAAGCGUAGAGAAUGCGAUCACGAGCGUUUACAUAUUUUUUCACAUUUUUUACACUUGUAAAUUGAUUAUUAUGUUUAAUGUUUUUUGGUAUUUUGUAGGAAAAAUCAAAUUCUACUAAAAAUUUUGUUGAUGCACAAAAUCAGCGAAGACUUUGGUACAACAGAAAGUGUCAGG
rnacentral:lncRNA from 1 species